rnacentral:rRNA from 1 species
AGAGUUUGAUCCUGGCUCAGAUUGAACGCUGGCGGCAGGCCUAACACAUGCAAGUCGAACGGUAACAGGAAGCAGCUUGCUGCUUUGCUGACGAGUGGCGGACGGGUGAGUAAUGUCUGGGAAACUGCCUGAUGGAGGGGGAUAACUACUGGAAACGGUAGCUAAUACCGCAUAACGUCGCAAGACCAAAGAGGGGGACCUUAGGGCCUCUUGCCAUCGGAUGUGCCCAGAUGGGAUUAGCUAGUAGGUGGGGUAACGGCUCACCUAGGCGACGAUCCCUAGCUGGUCUGAGAGGAUGACCAGCCACACUGGAACUGAGACACGGUCCAGACUCCUACGGGAGGCAGCAGUGGGGAAUAUUGCACAAUGGGCGCAAGCCUGAU